rnacentral:misc_RNA from 1 species
GAAAAAUACUAAUACGGUCACAUAUUCACAUCCAUUUCCAUUUCUAGGGUUUUGCCAGGGUACAGACAUCUGAAAAAAAUUAAUGGAAAACUCGGAUUAUAAUCACUGAAGAUGGAAAAUCCAGAUUCAAAAACCACCGCAUCCCCACCACCGCAACGAGAACCAGAACUUAAAAAGCCUAAAAUGUCCACCACCACUUCCGACGAUGAAGAAACUGUUACGACCGCCCCUGGCGACACCACGACCAUCAAAAAGCAAAGAUACAAGCGCCGCAAAAUCGCAAUCUUCUUUGCUUACUGCGGCGUGGGCUACCAGGGAAUGCAGAAGAACCCUGGCGCCAAAACUAUCGAAGGUGAUCUCGAAGAAGCUCUAUUUCACUCUGGUGCCUUCCCGGAACAAGACCGGGGCAACCCCAAGCGGUAUGACUGGGCUCGCUCGGCUCGUACUGAUAAGGGCGUGAGCGCCGUGGGACAGGUGGUCUCCGGCCGCUUCUACAUCGACCCACCUGGGCUGGUUGAACGCUUAAAUUCGAAUCUUGCGUCACAGAUUAGAAUCUUCGGUUACAAGCGAGUGACGGCGUCGUUUAAUGCCAAGAAGUUUUGUGAUCGUAGGAGGUAUGUGUAUCUGAUUCCUGUUUUUGCUCUUGAUCCAUGUUCGCAUCCUGAUAGGGAGAGUGUGUUGGCUAGUUUGGGGUCUGAUAAUGAGCUUGUUAAGUGCUUAGAGUGUUCAGAGAGAGGGCGUAAGGUUGUUGGCGCAGUGGGUAAACGAAGUUUUGAAUUAAAAUCUGUGGUUUCUCAAACAGACAUUUCAUCGAAUGGUGAUGACCGUGUUGUGAAACCUGAAAUUAUGGACGAUAUUAGUAUGUCUACGGAUAAUGCUGAUUGUGAUAAUACAAACGCUGAAUUCUUAAAAGAAGCUAAGGUCCCUGGAAAUGUGGAUGCUGAAACACGGUGUGCAAUACCUGAAUCUGGCAUUUUGUCGAAUGAUUUAGAUGCUAAAACGGAGCCUGAUAGUAGAGAAGAGAUUAUGGAGUCUGUGGACAAUAACAAUAAUGGGAAUACAGAAACGGAAAUUAUUGAAAAGGAUCAGAAGGUUAUUGUCAGUGAAGAGAAAGUUAACGGAGACAAGCAAGUUAUGAUAGGAAGUGGGUUUUGUUAUGGAGAGAAUGAGAAAGAGAGAUUCAAUCGAAUAUUGAAGUAUUAUGUGGGGAGUCACAACUUUCAUAAUUUUACCACAAGAACUAAGGCUGAAGACCCUUCUGCUCGGCGGUACAUUAUUUCCUUCGAUGCAAAGACCUCGGUUACUGUUGAAGGCAUUGAAUUCGUCAAGUGUGAAGUUGUAGGGCAGAGUUUCAUGCUUCAUCAGAUACGGAAAAUGAUUGGUCUUGCUGUGGCAGUUGUGAGGAAUUGUGCCCCUGAGUCACUGAUAUCAACUGCUCUACAAAAAGAUGUGAACAUUAAUGUGCCUACGGCUCCUGAGGUUGGGUUAUACUUGGAUGAGUGCCUAUUCGCAUCAUAUAACCAGAAAUGGAAAGACAGCCAUGAAGAAAUCUCAAUGAAAGAUUAUGAAGAAAUGGCAGAGGACUUCAAAAUGAAGCAUAUAUACUCUCAUAUUGCGUCAACAGAACAUAAGGAAGGAGCAGUGGCCCUGUGGUUGCAUUCUUUGAACCACAGAAACUACCCUGAUCUCCGUGUUAGCAACUAUGGAGAUACCAAUGGUGAGAUGGAGAACUUGGCUAAGGAAAUGUAAAACACUUUAUCUCUUGUCUUAGUGCUAUUAAUAUGGUCUUUGAGCUGAUUAUUCACCUACAUAAACUUUUUACUUGCUUUGGACUACAUUGAAAACAUUUAAUUAGUUUUUGGUUAAUUUUUUCAUGCUUACAAGUUAUGAGUUACCUGUCACUUUCAGAUGACUUAUUGAUUGAUAAACAGAUUCAAUUUGGAACACAAAUUGAAAGGGAUAUGGAUUUUUUUGGAGCACAAGGGUAUGGAAAUUGUAUUUAGUUUUGACGUGUUAUGCAAAAUCAAAUACUAAGCAGACGUUGGUUGUUUAUGUGACAUCUUAUUAAACUCUUUGAGUAUCCCUUGCGGGAACUGUUUAUAGUUGAUUGGCAUUGUACUAGCUUUGGAGUUCAAAAGAAAAAAAGAAAAACAAAAAAAGGCUACCUAAUUAGAAUUCAUAUGUUUGGUUGAGUUUUUGCCAUCUAAAAAUAGUGUUGUCUAAUGAAGCAGAUUAUUUUCCUUUUGA